GGGGCAAGAUGGGAUUUUGUGCUAACGGUAUCGAUCUUACCCC
rnacentral:pre_miRNA from 1 species